rnacentral:rRNA from 1 species
CUAGGGCGGCAGCAGUGGGGAAUAUUGGACAAUGGGCGAAAGCCUGAUCCAGCCAUGCCGCGUGUGUGAAGAAGGCCUUCGGGUUGUAAAGCACUUUCAGUGGGGAAGAAAGCCUUGGGGCUAAUACCCUCGAGGAAGGACAUCACCCACAGAAGAAGCACCGGCUAACUCCGUGCCAGCAGCCGCGGUAAUACGGAGGGUGCGAGCGUUAAUCGGAAUUACUGGGCGUAAAGCGCGCGUAGGCGGUCUGAUAAGCCGGUUGUGAAAGCCCCGGGCUCAACCUGGGAACGGCAUCCGGAACUGUCAGGCUAGAGUGCAGGAGAGGAAGGUAGAAUUCCCGGUGUAGCGGUGAAAUGCGUAGAGAUCGGGAGGAAUACCAGUGGCGAAGGCGGCCUUCUGGACUGACACUGACGCUGAGGUGCGAAAGCGUGGGUAGCAAACAGGAUUAGAUACCCGAGUAGUC